UACGUAGGGUGCAAGCGUUGUCCGGAAUUAUUGGGCGUAAAGAGCUCGUAGGCGGUUCGUCGCGUCGGCUGUGAAAACCUGAGGCUCAACCUCAGGCCUGCAGUCGAUACUGGCGGACUUGAGUACUGCAGGGGAGACUGGAAUUCCUGGUGUAGCGGUGAAAUGCGCAGAUAUCAGGAGGAACACCGGUGGCGAAGGCGGGUCUCUGGGCAGUAACUGACGCUGAGGAGCGAAAGCGUGGGGAGCGAACAGG
rnacentral:rRNA from 1 species